UUUCAAUCAAUAUAAACUAACGCUGAUAUGGCAAAAAAAAUUUAUUUAAAAAAAUAGAUGAGAUUACUAAUUUUCUUCGUUUCUCAAAUUAAGGCAUAUACGAAUAUUCCACGAAUACCUUUUCUCCUUAUUUCGAUAAUUUAAAAGGAAAAUUCACAGAGGGCAUUGACGAUGCGACGAAACGCGACCAAUGACGAUAAUUCUUGGAUCAUAAUUCCAUUCGAGCCAGGGAAAGAUCCGGAGCAAGGAACACUGCAAUUGCUGAAUUGCGGAAGUGGGGGGCCGAUGUUCAGGGAACGAAAAGGGAAUUUCCUGUUGUUCCUAUAUCACUCUUAGGAACGAAGGAAAUUUAAUUAGUUGAGAAGCUAAACCUACCAAUACCAUGUGCAUUCGAACGUAUCGUUCGGAACGACAACACUGGAAGCGUGGAACGAAAGAGGGGAUAAAGAUGUAACGAUGGACGACGUUUCUAAGAGAAAAAUAAAGAGAGAAAAAGUAAAAAGACGAACAUUUCUUUGAACGAAGGAAGGGCCAACAGGCAUUCUUCGAGAUACAAUAAUGGAUUCGCGGGUACACAGUGAGCACGAUGUGUAAUUAGUCACUCGUCAGAGACUGCUUGAACAAUGGAGUCAACGUAUCCUCGCCAUUUCCUUGCAUUAUCUCUGUUGUACAACGCUAUCUGAGCCAACUGCGCUUGAUUAGCACGGAUUACGACAAACGUAAUUGAUACACGCGCCGAUGCAGUGAUCAGAUUACGUUUCAAACGUAUCUUCUCUCCAAGUGUCUACGUUCUAGUUCAAAAAGGAUACAGAAAAAGCUAGUAUCUCUUAUCUUACCACGGCAGAAGGUUGACAGAGCUAGAAAUAUAGGUCAGAAAGAUCUUUCUUGUUGAUGGCGUGUUUCUUCACUCAAUGCAUUAUGUAUACAUAUAUAACAGUAGCAGUAGUAGUACAACCAUACGUAUGAGCUUCCACGUGCCAGAGCUUUGUGAAAUAUAUUUCGUAAUAACUUACGAAAUAUUAUUUCCUAUAUAACUUACGAUAAGAUGAUUUUGCAUGAUAAAAAUAGAUAAAAUUUAUAAUUCACAUAUAUAAAUAAAACGUUAAAUAUAUUUAAUUGUCUUGCUAAAUUUUACAUUACAAAAAUAUUAAUUUUUCGAGUUUAUACUUUUUAUAUUCGCG
rnacentral:lncRNA from 1 species